rnacentral:rRNA from 1 species
UAUACAGUGAAACUGCGAAUGGCUCAUUAAAUCAGUUAUCGUUUAUUUGAUAGUACCUUACUACUUGGAUAACCGUGGUAAUUCUAGAGCUAAUACAUGCUAAAAACCCCGACUUCGGAAGGGGUGUAUUUAUUAGAUAAAAAACCAAUGCUCUUCGGGGCUCCUUGGUGAUUCAUAAUAACUUAACGAAUCGCAUGGCCUUGUGCCGGCGAUGGUUCAUUCAAAUUUCUGCCCUAUCAACUUUCGAUGGUAGGAUAGUGGCCUACCAUGGUUUCAACGGGUAACGGGGAAUUAGGGUUCUAUUCCGGAGAGGGAGCCUGAGAAACGGCUACCACAUCCAAGGAAGGCAGCAGGCGCGCAAAUUACCCAAUCCCGACACGGGGAGGUAGUGACAAUAAAUACUGAUACAGGGCUCUUUUGAGUCUUGUAAUUGGAAUGAGUACAAUUUAAAUCCCUUAACGAGGAACAAUUGGAGGGCAAGUCUGGUGCCAGCAGCCGCGGUAAUUCCAGCUCCAAUAGCGUAUAUUAAAGUUGUUGCAGUUAAAAAGCUCGUAGUUGAACCUUGGGCCUGGCUGGCCGGUCCGCCUCACCGCGUGCACUGGUCCGGCCGGGCCUUUCCUCCUGGGGAGCCGCAUGCCCUUCACUGGGUGUGUCGGGGAACCAGGACUUUUACUUUGAAAAAAUUAGAGUGUUCAAAGCAGGCCUAUGCUCGAAUACAUUAGCAUGGAAUAAUAGAAUAGGACGUGUGGUUCUAUUUUGUUGGUUUCUAGGAC